rnacentral:rRNA from 1 species
AUGGAUAGGCAAGGCAUUUCACCUUCGGUCUACAACAACAACAACGAGUUCAAUGCCACGAACAACAACUCCUAUGCCAAGAUGCAAGCUCAAAUGGAGGAGAUCAAAGCCCUCAUCAAGUCCUACAAACGAUCUUCCUCAUCUUCGAGAAGACGCUCAAGAGCACAUGCUUCCGAGCUACCAUCUCCGGCAAGAUCACAUCGGCAUCGACACCAUCACCAACAAGAACGUGAAGGUCAAGAGCUCAACACCAACAACCGCUCAACGACUUCACCAUCUCCCUUAGCAUCUUCGCCAAGCGACUUCAAGGCAUCUUCGCCUACAGAAUACGACUUCUUCACCAACAAGCACCCCAUGAGACUACGCUCAAGAGAAGCUCCCCAAGCUCAAGUCCACGACUUCCACGAGCUACUACGACCUCAACAUCGACCAUGCAAUUCCUUUCUAUGA